rnacentral:rRNA from 1 species
GAUGAACGCUGGCGGCGUGCCUAAUACAUGCAAGUCGAGCGAACGGACGAGAAGCUUGCUUUUCUGAUGUUAGCGGCGGACGGGUGAGUAACACGUGGAUAACCUACCUAUAAGACUGGGAUAACUUCGGGAAACCGGAGCUAAUACCGGAUAAUAUUUUGAACCGCAUGGUUCAAAAGUGAAAGACGGUCUUACUGUCACUUAUAGAUGGAUCCGCGCUGCAUUAGCUAGUUGGUAAGGUAACGGCUUACCAAGGCAACGAUGCAUAGCCGACCUGAGAGGGUGAUCGGCCACACUGGAACUGAGACACGGUCCAGACUCCUACGGGAGGCAGCAGUAGGGAAUCUUCCGCAAUGGGCGAAAGCCUGACGGAGCAACGCCGCGUGAGUGAUGAAGGUCUUCGGAUCGUAAAACUCUGUUAUUAGGGAAGAACAUAUGUGUAAGUAACUGUGUACAUCUUGACGGUACCUAAUCAGAAAGCCACGGCUAACUACGUG